rnacentral:tRNA from 1 species
AGAUGAGCUCAGUUGGUCAGAGCAUGGUGCUACUAAUGCCAAGGUCAUGGGUUUGAUCCCCUUAUGGGCUA